GGCAUUCAGUCCAUAACACUAACCUAUCUCUUUCUGCCUAUGGCCAACUUAGAAGAACUCAUAUGAACAUGCUAUUAUAAAAGAAUUUACUAUGCUCAUCAACAGGAGAUAGAUUCUAAUGCUCCUUCAUUCCUGCUUUGGGCAAUGUGGGGACUCAGAGAAGUCGAGUGACCUAGAUUUCAUCUCACUUGUCAUCUCCCAUCAAUGACUUGUGGAUCGCUGGGGCACUGCGCUGUGAGCCCAGCUGCAGGGUCGUAGUCUCUUGUGAUGUCUGCCAGGACUGUGGGCGCAUAGUGGCAUACACUGAUCAUGAACAUAAAGGAUUCUGACAUGAAUAACGAAACCAUUACCCUCGUUUGUUCACCCAAUGUGAUUGUUGUUUAUAUCAGCAAAAACAGAAAUGGAGCUAGGUACAGAAAGUGAAACUGGGAACCAGUAGUUUGUGGAAGAAUCAAAUGCCAAAAUUGGUCAGCAGCGUGGGUAAAAACAGGGUGAGAAGAGCAAAGAGGAAGCUCUCUGAAAGCAGCAAAGUUGGUGCCCAAGAACUUCAGUUCUCACCUUCCUACCAGCGGCCUUUGUGCUGUGAGAGUGCAAAUGUGCCCAGCCGGGAGGAAAGAGCGCUCAGCUCCAGGAGCAAGGUACCAGAGACCAGAGACGACGGAAUGACAUCUAGCAAAGGCCACUGGAAGCGUUUGAAUUGUCCCAGGAAUGUGACAGAC
rnacentral:lncRNA from 9 species